rnacentral:rRNA from 1 species
AGAGUUUGAUCCUGGCUCAGAUUGAACUCUGGCGGCAGGCCUAACACAUGCAAGUCGAACGGUAACAGGAAGAAGCUUGCUUCUUUGCUGACGAGUGGCGGACGGGUGAGUAAUGUCUGGGAAACUGCCUGAUGGAGGGGGAUAACUACUGGAAACGGUAGCUAAUACCGCAUAACGUCGCAAGACCAAAGAGGGGGACCUUCGGGCCUCUUGCCAUCGGAUGUGCCCAGAUGGGAUUAGCUAGUAGGUGGGGUAACGGCUCACCUAGGCGACGAUCCCUAGCUGGUCUGAGAGGAUGACCAGCCACACUGGAACUGAGACACGGUCCAGACUCCUACGGGAGGCAGCAGUGGGGAAUAUUGCACAAUGGGCGCAAGCCUGAUGCAGCCAUGCCGCGUGUAUGAAGAAGGCCUUCGGGUUGUAAAGUACUUUCAGCGGGGAGGAAGGGAGUAAAGUUAAUACCUUUGCUCAUUGACGUUACCCGCAGAAGAAGCACCGGCUAACUCCGUGCCAGCAGCCGCGGUAAUACGGAGGGUGCAAGCGUUAAUCGGAAUUACUGGGCGUAAAGCGCACGCAGGCGGUUUGUUAAGUCAGAUGUGAAAUCCCCGGGCUCAACCUGGGAACUGCAUCUGAUACUGGCAAGCUUGAGUCUCGUAGAGGGGGGUAGAAUUCCAGGUGUAGCGGUGAAAUGCGUAGAGAUCUGGAGGAAUACCGGUGGCGAAGGCGGCCCCCUGGACGAAGACUGACGCUCAGGUGCGAAAGCGUGGGGAGCAAACAGGAUUAGAUACCCUGGUAGUCCACGCCGUAAACGAUGUCGACUUGGAGGUUGUGCCCUUGAGGCGUGGCUUCCGGAGCUAACGCGUUAAGUCGACCGCCUGGGGAGUACGGCCGCAAGGUUAAAACUCAAAUGAAUUGACGGGGGCCCGCACAAGCGGUGGAGCAUGUGGUUUAAUUCGAUGCAACGCGAAGAACCUUACCUGGUCUUGACAUCCACGGAAGUUUUCAGAGAUGAGAAUGUGCCUUCGGGAACCGUGAGACAGGUGCUGCAUGGCUGUCGUCAGCUCGUGUUGUGAAAUGUUGGGUUAAGUCCCGCAACGAGCGCAACCCUUAUCCUUUGUUGCCAGCGGUCCGGCCGGGAACUCAAAGGAGACUGCCAGUGAUAAACUGGAGGAAGGUGGGGAUGACGUCAAGUCAUCAUGGCCUUUACGACCAGGGCUACACACGUGCUACAAUGGCGCAUACAAAGAGAAGCGACCUCGCGAGAGCAAGCGGACCUCAUAAAGUGCGUCGUAGUCCGGAUUGGAGUCUGCAACUCGACUCCAUGAAGUCGGAAUCGCUAGUAAUCGUGGAUCAGAAUGCCACGGUGAAUACGUUCCCGGGCCUUGCACACACCGCCCGUCA